GGCAAGCUAUACCCUAGAAGAAGCAAGAAACUAAUCGUCUUGGCAACAAAACAAAGAGAAGAAAAGCACACAAACAUAACCUCAUAUCCAAAUAUGAAUAUAACAGGAAGCAAUAAUCACUAUUCCUUAAUAUCUCUCAACAUCAGUGGCCUCAACUCCCCAAUAAAAAGACAUAGAUUAACAAACUGGAUACGCAACGAGGACCCUGCAUUCUGCUGCCUACAGGAAACACACCUCAGAGACAAAGACAGACACUACCUCAGAGUGAAAGGCUGGAAAACAACUUUCCAAGCAAAUGGUCAGAAGAAGCAAGCUGGAGUAGCCAUUCUAAUAUCAAAUAAAAUCAAUUUUCAACUAAAAGUCAUCAAAAAAGAUAAGGAAGGAUACUUCAUAUUCAUCAAAGGAAAAAUCCACCAAGAUGAACUCUCAAUCCUAAAUAUCUAUGCCCCAAAUACAAGGGCACCUACAUAUGUAAAAGAAACCUU
rnacentral:lncRNA from 1 species